rnacentral:rRNA from 1 species
UGGGGAAUUUUGGACAAUGGACGCAAGUCUGAUCCAGCCAUUCCGCGUGCAGGAUGAAGGCCCUCGGGUUGUAAACUGCUUUUGUACGGAACGAAAAGGUUUCUAUUAAUACUAGGAGCUCAUGACGGUACCGUAAGAAUAAGCACCGGCUAACUACGUGCCAGCAGCCGCGGUAAUACGUAGGGUGCAAGCGUUAAUCGGAAUUACUGGGCGUAAAGCGUGCGCAGGCGGUUAUGUAAGACAGAGGUGAAAUCCCCGGGCUCAACCUGGGAACUGCCUUUGUGACUGCAUAGCUAGAGUACGGUAGAGGGGGAUGGAAUUCCGCGUGUAGCAGUGAAAUGCGUAGAUAUGCGGAGGAACACCGAUGGCGAAGGCAAUCCCCUGG